GUACACAAAAAUGCACAUGCUGUGAGCUCGAUGAGUAGGGCGGGACACGUGGUAUCCUGUCUGAAUAUGGGGGGACCAUCCUCCAAGGCUAAAUACUCCUGACUGACCGAUAGUGAACCAGUACCGUGAGGGAAAGGCGAAAAGAACCCCGGCGAGGGGAGUGAAAAAGAACCUGAAACCGUGUACGUACAAGCAGUGGGAGCACGCUUAGGCGUGUGACUGCGUACCUUUUGUAUAAUGGGUCAGCGACUUAUAUUCUGUAGCAAGGUUAACCGAAUAGGGGAGCCGAAGGGAAACCGAGUCUUAACUGGGCGUUAAGUUGCAGGGUAUAGACCCGAAACCCGGUGAUCUAGCCAUGGGCAGGUUGAAGGUUGGGUAACACUAACUGGAGGACCGAACCGACUAAUGUUGAAAAAUUAGCGGAUGACUUGUGGCUGGGGGUGAAAGGCCAAUCAAACCGGGAGAUAGCUGGUUCUCCCCGAAAGCUAUUUAGGUAGCGCCUCGUGAAUUCAUCUCCGGGGGUAGAGCACUGUUUCGGCAAGGGGGUCAUCCCGACUUACCAACCCGAUGCAAACUGCGAAUACCGGAGAAUGUUAUCACGGGAGACACACGGCGGGUGCUAACGUCCGUCGUGAAGAGGGAAACAACCCAGACCGCCAGCUAAGGUCCCAAAGUCAUGGUUAAGUGGGAAACGAUGUGGGAAGGCCCAGACAGCCAGGAUGUUGGCUUAGAAGCAGCCAUCAUUUAAAGAAAGCGUAAUAGCUCACUGGUCGAGUCGGCCUGCGCGGAAGAUGUAACGGGGCUAAACCAUGCACCGAAGCUGCGGCAGCGACACUGUGUGUUGUUGGGUAGGGGAGCGUUCUGUAAGCCUGCGAAGGUGUGCUGUGAGGCAUGCUGGAGGUAUCAGAAGUGCGAAUGCUGACAUAAGUAACGAUAAAGCGGGUGAAAAGCCCGCUCGCCGGAAGACCAAGGGUUCCUGUCCAACGUUAAUCGGGGCAGGGUGAGUCGACCCCUAAGGCGAGGCCGAAAGGCGUAGUCGAUGGGAAACAGGUUAAUAUUCCUGUACUUGGUGUUACUGCGAAGGGGGGACGGAGAAGGCUAUGUUGGCCGGGCGACGGUUGUCCCGGUUUAAGCGUGUAGGCUGGUUUUCCAGGCAAAUCCGGAAAAUCAAGGCUGAGGCGUGAUGACGAGGCACUACGGUGCUGAAGCAACAAAUGCCCUGCUUCCAGGAAAAGCCUCUAAGCAUCAGGUAACAUCAAAUCGUACCCCAAACCGACACAGGUGGUCUGGUAGAGAAUACCAAGGCGCUUGAGAGAACUCGGGUGAAGGAACUAGGCAAAAUGGUGCCGUAACUUCGGGAGAAGGCACGCUGAUAUGUAGGUGAAGUCCCUCGCGGAUGGAGCUGAAAUCAGUCGAAGAUACCAGCUGGCUGCAACUGUUUAUUAAAAACACAGCACUGUGCAAACACGAAAGUGGACGUAUACGGUGUGACGCCUGCCCGGUGCCGGAAGGUUAAUUGAUGGGGUCAGCGCAAGCGAAGCUCUUGAUCGAAGCCCCGGUAAACGGCGGCCGUAACUAUAACGGUCCUAAGGUAGCGAAAUUCCUUGUCGGGUAAGUUCCGACCUGCACGAAUGGCGUAAUGAUGGCCAGGCUGUCUCCACCCGAGACUCAGUGAAAUUGAACUCGCUGUGAAGAUGCAGUGUACCCGCGGCAAGACGGAAAGACCCCGUGAACCUUUACUAUAGCUUGACACUGAACAUUGAGCCUUGAUGUGUAGGAUAGGUGGGAGGCUUUGAAGUGUGGACGCCAGUCUGCAUGGAGCCGACCUUGAAAUACCACCCUUUAAUGUUUGAUGUUCUAACGUUGACCCGUGAUCCGGGUUGCGGACAGUGUCUGGUGGGUAGUUUGACUGGGGCGGUCUCCUCCUAAAGAGUAACGGAGGAGCACGAAGGUUGGCUAAUCCUGGUCGGACAUCAGGAGGUUAGUGCAAUGGCAUAAGCCAGCUUGACUGCGAGCGUGACGGCGCGAGCAGGUGCGAAAGCAGGUCAUAGUGAUCCGGUGGUUCUGAAUGGAAGGGCCAUCGCUCAACGGAUAAAAGGUACUCCGGGGAUAACAGGCUGAUACCGCCCAAGAGUUCAUAUCGACGGCGGUGUUUGGCACCUCGAUGUCGGCUCAUCACAUCCUGGGGCUGAAGUAGGUCCCAAGGGUAUGGCUGUUCGCCAUUUAAAGUGGUACGCGAGCUGGGUUUAGAACGUCGUGAGACAGUUCGGUCCCUAUCUGCCGUGGGCGCUGGAGAACUGAGGGGGGCUGCUCCUAGUACGAGAGGACCGGAGUGGACGCAUCACUGGUGUUCGGGUUGUCAUGCCAAUGGCACUGCCCGGUAGCUAAAUGCGGAAGAGAUAAGUGCUGAAAGCAUCUAAGCACGAAACUUGCCCCGAGAUGAGUUCUCCCUGACUCCUUGAGAGUCCUGAAGGAACGUUGAAGACGACGACGUUGAUAGGCCGGGUGUGUAAGCGCAGCGAUGCGUUGAGCUAACCGGUACUAAUGAACCGUGAGGCUUAACCUUACAACGCCGAAGGUGUUU
rnacentral:rRNA from 1 species